GACGAACGCUGGCGGCGUGCUUAACACAUGCAAGUCGAACGGAAAGGCCCUGCUUUUGUGGGGUGCUCGAGUGGCGAACGGGUGAGUAACACGUGAGUAACCUGCCCUUGACUUUGGGAUAACUUCAGGAAACUGGGGCUAAUACCGGAUAGGAGCUCCUGCUGCAUGGUGGGGGUUGGAAAGUUUCGGCGGUUGGGGAUGGACUCGCGGCUUAUCAGCUUGUUGGUGUGGUAGUGGCUUACCAAGGCUUUGACGGGUAGCCGGCCUGAGAGGGUGACCGGCCACAUUGGGACUGAGAUACGGCCCAGACUCCUACGGGAGGCAGCAGUGGGGAAGAUUGCACAAUGGGCGGAAGCCUGAUGCAGCAACGCCGCGUGCGGGAUGACGGCCUUCGGGUUGUAAACCGCUUUCGCCUGUGACGAAGCGUGAGUGACGGUAAUGGGUAAAGAAGCACCGGCUAACUACGUG
rnacentral:rRNA from 1 species